GGUGUGGCUCAGUGGUACAGCAUCUGCUUUGCAUGGAGAAGGACACAGGUUCAAUCCCCACAGUCUCCA